rnacentral:rRNA from 1 species
CGUCGGCAGCGUCAGAUGUGUAUAAGAGACAGGUGUGGCGUAUGCGUAGCGAAAGCGAGUCUUAAAAGGCGUUUGUAGUCGCUUGUCCUGGACCCGAAGCGGGAUGAUCUAGCCCUGGGCAGGUUGAAGCGCGGGUAAGACCGCGUGGAGGACCGAACCCACCUGGGUUGAAAACCGGGGGGAUGACCUGGGGCUAGGGGUGAAAGGCCAAUCAAAUUCCGUGAUAGCUGGUUCUCUCCGAAAUGCAUUUAGGUGCAGCGUCGGUCGAUUGCGUCGCGGGGGUAGAGCUACCGGAUGCUUGCGGGCCCUUGUUGGGUACCAACAGCAGCCGAACUCCGAAUACCGUUGACGUGUAUUCCGGCAGUGAGUCGGCGGGGGAUAAGCUCCGUCGUCGAGAGGGAGACAGCCCAGACCGUCGUCUAAGGUCCCGAAGCGUGUGCUAAGUGGGAAAGGAUGUGGAGUCGCAUAGACAGCCAGGAGGUUGGCUCAGAAGCAGCCAUCCUUGAAAGAGUGCGUAACAGCUCACUGGUCUAGUGGUUCCGCGCCGACAAUGUAGCGGGGCUCAAGCACACCACCGAAGACGCGGCAGCAAUCUUCAUGGUUGCUGGGUAGGAGAGCGUCCUGCGAGGGGCGAAGCGGCCGGGUAACCGUGCCGUGGACUUCGUGGGAGUGAGAAUGCAGACAUGAGUAGCGAGAGACGGGUGAGGAUCCCGUCCGCUGGAUGACCAAGGGUUCCGGGGCCACGUUCGUCGUCCCCGGGUGAGUCGGGUCCUAAGGCGAGGCCGACAGGCGUAGUCGAAUGGAUGAACGGGUGGAUAUUCCCGUACCGACCAUGGACCGGCAAAACCGAGACGGUGAGUACUAACCUCCGCCUCGUGGUGGUUCCUUCCUUCGGGUUGGUUCCGCCGCGUGGUGUUGGGACUGUAGCCGCAGUAGGUCAGCGCAGGGGUGACACGGAAUGGGAGCCGGCCGCGGAGGUGGUUUUCCGUGGUCAAGCACGCAGCCAGUCAUGUAGGCAAAUCCGCAUGGCGCGCAUGGCGAGGUGUGAUGAUGGGAGCCGUUAUGGCUCGAUAUCCGGUUGUCCAGGCCGUCGAGAAAAGCCUCGGCGUGAGGGCCAUGGCCGCCCGUACCCCAAACCGACACUGGUGGUCAGGUAGAGAAUACCAAGGCGAUCGAGCGAAUCCUGGUCAAGGAACUCGGCAAAUCACUCCCGUGCCUUCGGUAUAAGGGAGACCCGCUGGGGUGAACCGGCUAGCCCGGGGAGCUUUGGUGGGUGGCACAGACCAGGGGGUAGCGACUGUUUACCAAAAACACAGGUGCAUGCGAAGGCGCAAGCCGCUGUAUAUGCACUGACGCCUGCCCGGUGCCGGAAGGUUAAGAGGAUCCGUCAAUCCCUUCGGGGACGAAGCGGUGAAUUCAAGCCCCGGUAAACGGCGGUGGUAACUAUAACCAUCCUAAGGUAGCGAAAUUCCUUGUCGGGUAAGUUCCGACCUGCACGAAUGGCGUAACGACUUCCCCACUGUCUCGACCAGGAGCUCGGCGAAAUUGCAGUACGAGUAAAGAUGCUCGUUAAGCGCAGAAGGACGAAAAGACCCCGGGACCUUUACUAUACCUUGGUAUUGGCGUUAGGCGCGGAUUGUGUAGCAUAGGCGGGAGGCUUCGAAGCGGGUGCGCCAGCAUUCGUGGAGCCGCAAGGUGAAAUACCGCUCUGUUCUCGUUUGACGUCUAACCUCGACAAGUCAUCCUUGUCAGGGACAGUGCCUGGCGGGUAGUUCAACUGGGGCGGUUGCCUCCCAAAGAGUAACGGAGGCGCUCAAAGGUCCGCUCAGCCCGGUUGGCAAUCGGGUGUCGAGUGUAAUCGCACAAGCGGGCUUGACUGCGAGGACGACGGUCCGAGCAGGGACGAAAGUCGGAGAUAGUGAUCCGGUGCCGGCGCACGGGCGCGGCAUCGCUCAACGGAUAAAAGGUACCCCGGGGAUAACAGGCUGAUCAUUCCCAAGAGUCCAUAUCGACGGGAUGGUUUGGCACCUCGAUGUCGGCUCGUCGCAUCCUGGGGCUGGAGCAGGUCCCAAGGGUUCGGCUGUUCGCCGAUUAAAGCGGCACGCGAGCUGGGUUCAGAACGUCGUGAGACAGUUUGGUCUCUAUCCUCUGCGCUCGUUGGAAUCCUGAGGAGGCCUGCCCAUAGUACGAGAGGACCUGGGUGGACGAACCUCUGGUAUGCCGGUUGUCGCGCCAGCGGCACGGCCGGUUGGCUACGUUCGGGAGGGAUAACCGCUGAAAGCAUCUAAGCGGGAAGCCUGCUCCAAGAUUAGGAUUCCGUACGGUCUUGAACCGUUGUAGCCCGCAUGUUGAACACGUGUUUGAUAGGCCGGAGGUGGAAGUCCCGUGAGGG